ACUAACCAGUCCUGCCUCUUGCAUUUUCUUCAGUAGUAUUUUGCUUUGUCGGGUAGCUCAGAACUGCCAAAAUCUGUAUGAGAGAACUAAAGCUACAUUUAUCUGGAACCACACCACAACUAAAAAUGCUAUCAAACAAGUCACAUGCUUUAUCAUAAUUCUUUACUAAACCAUAUGCUUUGAUCGUCACAUUGAAGUCCAGG
rnacentral:misc_RNA from 1 species